UCGUGUUGGUCGUACUGCUCGAGCUGGGCGCGAAGGAUAUGCUGUUACAUUUCUCACAGAUGAUGAUAGAUCUCUAUUAAAGGCCAUUGUUGAGUUGUUUGGUACCACAUGCAACUUGCAGGAUGUUGUUUGAGUUGCUUGUUCUAACAGGAGCUCAAGUGGGGAUGGACUGGACUACUAUACUGAAGAAGAGGAAUGAAUUCAGGGUGGCAUUUGUUGAAUUUGAUGCAAAGUCUGUCUCCAAGUUCACAGAGAAGCAGAUGGUUUCCAUCAGUGUGGAACUGAAGCUGGAUUUAGGAAGAGUUCGAGGAAUAUCACUAUCUAUUUUGAAACAGAAUUAGUGUUAAUUUUGA